rnacentral:rRNA from 1 species
GUCGGGAAUAUUGCGCAAUGGAGGAAACUCUGACGCAGUGACGCCGCGUAUAGGAAGAAGGUUUUCGGAUUGUAAACUAUUGUCGUUAGGGAAGAAAAAAGACAGUACCUAAGGAGGAAGCUCCGGCUAACUACGUGCCAGCAGCCGCGGUAAUACGUAGGGAGCGAGCGUUAUCCGGAUUUAUUGGGUGUAAAGGGUGCGUAGACGGGUUAGCAAGUUAGUUGUGAAAUCCCUCGGCUUAACUGAGGAACUGCAACUAAAACUGUUAAUCUUGAGUGCAGGAGAGGUAAGUGGAAUUCCUAGUGUAGCGGUGAAAUGCGUAGAUAUUAGGAGGAACACCAGUGGCGAAGGCGACUUACUGGACUGUAACUGACGUUGAGGCACGAAAGUGUGGGGAGCAAACAGGAUUAGAUACCCGGGUAGUCC